rnacentral:misc_RNA from 1 species
UUGAAAUAAACCUGAUGGGUUGUUGCUGGCUCUCUAGGGAGCAUGUGCACGCCUUGUCAUCUUUAUAUCUCCACCUGUGCACUUUUUGUAGACCUUUUUUUAAAAAAGGUCUAUGUUGCUUCAUUUUACCUCAAUUGUAUGUCAAUAGAAUGUUGUGCCUAUAUAAUAUAUA